rnacentral:lncRNA from 12 species
GGGCCUGCUGCAGCAAAUGUGGAAUGCCAGAAGUGGAGAUGCAAGAGAAGAUUCCAGAAAGAGAAGUGGUAGUGGAAGAAAAACCGAGACUUUGUCAUGAAAAUGAAAAGAAUUGGACAAGUUUACAAAAAUGAAAGCAGCUGGGAAAAGAAAAUAAAUUGACAUACAGCAUGCAAAAACUGCAAUAUGAACCAGUUUCUGGAACACUACGGUUUUCCCAGAUAUUUAAACUCCAUUUUUGGAUACUCCCUGAACUGUCAAUGGUCCCAUAAUCUCAAAAGGAGCUUCUGCUUUAGAUUGGGUUUUGACAAGAAAACAACAAAUCCUGUGGGAUGCUGCAGAUGUAUGAUGGUAUUAAUGUGCUAAAGGAUUUAGAGAAUAAGUAUGGUGGUGGGAGACAUAAGAAGAGUUGACAAUUCAAUCCCUUGUUGAUUGAUUCCUCUACCUAAACAUAUCCACAAUGACAUGUUUGGGAAUCAGUCUUGUAUCCAGGAGCCAGUGAUGGAGCUUUCACGUGGAAGCUGGGAUGGUUAAUGAAGUACAACUUGACACUCUUCAAAUCUUGCAAUGUCUUGUAAAAUAAAGGAAGAUUUAUUUUAUAUUUACACAUAUGCUUUGUAAUUAUUUAAUCAACCAAGUCAAAAUUUUACAAAUAAAAAACAUUUGUCAUUUUGUUAUGCACUGUUUGAGGCUGAAAAGGCAUUUGAUUAUCAUAAUUGUGUAAUGGAUAUUAGCUACAGUGACAAUCAAAAUAAACACAGAGCAUUUAUAUAUCAUCUUUUCAUAGUCCUUUUCUAAAUUACAUAAUCCGUGUACAAACUGCACAUGAAUAAUAUGCUAUGGUUAAACAAACAAGUCUUUAAUGAUCAGCAGUGAAGUCAAGAGGUUUCUUCCAGACAUGUGUCUCAAAGAGUAUGGGACCUCUAUUAACUGAAAGACUAAACAUUAGGUUAUGUCAACAUUAAAUAUUUCUUGUCUCAGUUCUUUGCAGUCCCUAAUUUUUUUUUAAAAACGUUUAAAGGCUUAACUUGUCCAG